rnacentral:rRNA from 1 species
UUAGGCCUACGGGGCGUAGCAGUGGGGAAUAUUGGGCAAUGGGCGCAAGCCUGACCCAGCAACGCCGCGUGAAGGAAGAAGGCUUUCGGGUUGUAAACUUCUUUUGUCAGGGACGAAGCAAGUGACGGUACCUGACUAAGAAGCCCCGGCUAACUACGUGCCAGCAGCCGCGGUAAUACGUAGGGGGCAAGCGUUAUCCGGAUUUACUGGGUGUAAAGGGAGCGUAGACGGCAUAGCAAGUCUGAUGUGAAAGAUCGGGGCUCAACCCCGGGCCUGCAUUGGAAACUGUUGAGCUGGAGUACAGG